GAGAGAGGGGGAGCGCGUGCGCCUUAAUAACCCUUUAUAAGGGACUUGCUGCGACGCACUGGAUUGCACUAUAUACAGUCCUACAUCUGCAGUGCCCUGGCUGGCAUGUUCUGCAAGCAGUUCUCCACUUACCAUCAUAAAGAACCUACACACCCCUUUAAAGUCGGAGACAGAGUCGUGGUGAAGGUGCUCCCCAGGAACAAGAGCCCAGGAGACUUCACCUAUGGUCCAGAGACAGAGGUCGUAGCAGUUACCCGAACAGCAGUCCUGACAGAGGAAAGUCCUACCUGGAUCCAUGCAUCCCGAGUAAAAAAAAAGGUUCCUAGACCAGACCUAGAGAGGGAAGCAAGUGAUUCCAGUGAGGUACGAACCGGGGCAGACAGCCCUGACCUCCCACCUAGCGAAGAAAGAAGAACAGAAGAAGAUGAGGAACCUGUCCCCUAUCUUUAUCCUGGGGACUACCUUGAUAGCCCUACUGGCCCUCACUCACCACACAAUAUGUGAGGUUGAUAUUACACAGACUAAUGGGAUCCCCACCUUGUGGUACAAUUCCUCCAAUACACACGUAGCCACAUAUAUCCUUGACUAUUUUAUGUUCCCCAAAAUUGCUGAUGACAAAUAUUAUAUACAACAAAGGAGGAAAUCAGGAAUGUCUGAGACAGUAUAUAUUUGUGUUACUGACGAAUGGUACUAUGACAAUAGAUAUUAUGGAUCUAAUUGUAAUUCCUGGGAAGCUGUGGGGUGGAAUACAGGAGUAGAUUGGAAAUAUGGCCCAUCGUUUGCAAAGAAUAGAUGGAGCAAAUAUGGAGUACCCCUACUUUCUAGACUAUCCAUUCAUAAGAUGGAUGAAGGCCCAAAUUCAUACAGGUUUAGACUAAACAUAGUGAACCCUAGCAGAAGCGACAAUGAGACUUAUGUACUUGGUAUAUGGUGGCAAGCAGGGUAUUAUAGUGCAAGGCAAAUGUUUUAUUUAUGGGAUAUGUAUAAAAACCCAAAAUACCAGCCUAAAAUUGCUCCCCAAAACAAACCUUUAAAGCCCCAUAUUGCCACUUUUAAAGAUAUGGUGGCUAUUACUAACCCUACCUUUGAAGACACCCUAGCUAUUGAAACUGGUUUCUCUGACAUUAAUUUUUGGUUGGAAUGGAUGAAGUAUAGUGCUAACAAACACAAUAAAAGCAACUGUUAUGUCUGUGGCAAAUCUAGGCCCCACCUAGGUACAGUGCCCCUUAAUAUACCCCUAGAACAAGAAAAUUGUUUUUUUUCAGCCUUUUUAAUGACACCAAAACAAAUGACAGUCAGUGCGAAAUGUGGAAAAGGGAAUAUCCCAUAUUGUCGAAAAAUCCCAACCCAGGAAGCACCAUAACCAUAUAUCCUGGAAACUACACUUGUUAUACAUCUAACACCACAACAGGGAGAAAUUUAAAAACCUUCCCACCAGGGUAUUGUGCAAAUAAAAGAACAACUGUUUUAGUCAACCAAACUAGAUCAUUAGGCGACAUUUAUUACAUAUGUGGGAAACUGUAAAUAAAAACGUAGCCUGGAUUAAUUAUAUAUAUUAUAAUCAACAAAGAUUUGUUAAUGAUACCAAAGAUGCUCUUAAAGGUAUAGCUGAACAGCUAGAAGCCACUUCCCAAAUGACAUUCCAAAAUAGAAUGGCCCUUGACAUGAUCCUAGCAGAAAAAGGCGGUACAUGUGUUUACAUUAGUAAGGUGGAAGGCUGUUGUACAUAUAUUCCUGACAACACUGGUCCCAAUGGUAAGGUUACUUUAGCCAUAAACAAGUUAGAAACCUUAUCCAUAGAACUUAAGAAAAAUUCAGGUAUUGAUAACCCAUGGAGCCAAUAUUUUGGAUGGUUUGAAAAUUGGAAACUGGCUCUUGUGCAAAUAAGCAUAUUCAUACUUGUAACUUUAAUUCUUGUAGGCAUUAUAGUUUAUUGUGUAAUUCCCUGUGGAAAGAAACUUACCUCCAAAGGCAUUGAUAAGGCCCUGAUGUAUUAUGACAUAACCACCAGUCCUGUCACCUCCUCUGAUAGUAAGGGACCCGACGAUUAUGUCCAAUAUCUCAAGAACUGGAGAAACAAGAAAGGAGCCUCACUCAAGAAUCAUGUCAUAUAAUAAUCAUGAUUCUAAGAGGGGAUUGAAGGGUUACCUCUUCUGUCUUUGUACAUAUUACUUUUUAUAUGAUCAGUUUCCUUAUAAUAAUUACAGUGUAAAAGUGAAUAUUUCUAUUUCCCUAGUGAAGGGUUAAAACAUGCUUUAUGAACUCUUAUGUGUUUGCAAUGGAUGCUGCUGCCCUGUGUUAGAUGCCUUUGUCUCUCAUACAGAUACCAGGCUUGUGUGGGUCUGGCAUCCAAGGUCAGCUCUCUACUAGAUGAAACCUGCUUUUUCUACUUCUGUGUGUUACUAAAAGAUCCUUUGUUAAGUUUCGUCUGAUGCAACAUAUAUAACAUCUGCCUGGCAACUGCUAUAUCCAAUUAUGUUAUGUCAAGUAUUAACCACCCCUACGUACCCCACCCAGGAACCUACCCCUAAGCCAAUGAGCCCUUUUACACUUGUCAGUUCCACCCAUAUGCAUUGUCUUAUAUACUCUUGUUAACUUUAUAAUAAACAGUGUGAAUUUUAA